GAUGAACGCUGGCGGCGUGCCUAAUACAUGCAAGUCGAGCGAACGGACGAGAAGCUUGCUUCUCUGAUGUUAGCGGCGGACGGGUGAGUAACACGUGGAUAACCUACCUAUAAGACUGGGAUAACUUCGGGAAACCGGAGCUAAUACCGGAUGAUAUUUUGAACCGCAUGGUUCAAAAGUGAAAGACGGUCUUGCUGUCACUUAUAGAUGGAUCCGCGCUGCAUUAGCUAGUUGGUAAGGUAACGGCUUACCAAGGCAACGAUGCAUAGCCGACCUGAGAGGGUGAUCGGCCCCCCUGGAACUGAGACCCGGUCCAGACUCCUACGGGAGGCAGCCGUAGGGAAUCUUCCGCAAUGGGCGAAAGCCUGACGGAGCAACGCCGCGUGAGUGAUGAAGGUCUUCGGAUCGUAAAACUCUGUUAUUAGGGAAGAACAUAUGUGUAAGUAACUGUGCACAUCUUGACGGUACCUAAUCAGAAAGCCACGGCUAACUACGUG
rnacentral:rRNA from 1 species